rnacentral:lncRNA from 1 species
UUGCGCACAACUCUAAAAUUUUUAGACAAGCCUAUAUUAUUUUCAAAUUUAUCCCAACAUUGGUUAAAAUAAAAUAAUAACAUAAUAAUACUUAAUUAGCUAAGAAUAAAAACAAGAGUUAUGACAUGACCGAUAGUCUUGGCAAACUCACAUCAAUAAUAGUGAGUAGAUCUCACGUUCACUUUCACUUACUUUCACUUUCACUUUCAUGUUAGAGAGAUUCAUAUAGAAACAUAUUGAAAAUAUCAGUUUCCUAUUAGAAAUUGCAUGCCAUGGUUAUAGCAGAAAACUUACAAAAAGAUAGCUGGAGUGCCAAAGAAGUUGUUCUUUGAUUACAGGCCAAGGCAUAAAGAACUAGAAAAGUGACUCAUUGUUAACAUGCCAAUGACAAGCAAGGUAGCUUCAUAUUUUUUUCAUGUAUUUUGUAGCACUAAACUCCAUAAAAGCAUCAGCAUUUUAUUGUCAAAUAACAUUACACCCUUUGCAAUGGCUACUUCCAUGGAGGUCUCAGUUCAAGCCUUGGGGCGUACUAUCUGCUCCAAGGCACCAAAAGGGCUUGCCCUUACGACCUCGCCUUUUAGAAAAACAGGCCAACCAGAGCAUGUACUAAUGAAAAGGGCGCAAAAGUAUGAAUGUAUGAAAAUAUAUACCAAAAAUAGACCAUAUGAAGAUCAUAAUAGACUACACGCUGUUAUAUCAUCGACAAGCAGUUCAAAUUUUAGUCCAUCUGAUACAGUAGAGCAGUUCUAUGAAUGCAUCAACAAGAAGAACUUGAAGAAACUGGGCAAAUUCAUCUCCAACGAUUGUUACUUGGAGGACUUCUCCUUCCCUAAACCAUUUCAGGGAAGAAAGGUUGUUUCUUCUAUCUUAAAACUCUUGAUGAAUCAAAGCUUUAUGCCAUAAAUUUGAUUCUUUAAAAUCCCUUUUGUGAACCUGUGCAGGAAGUUUUGAAAUUUUAUGAGCAGCUAACAACAUGCAUGGGGGAGAAUAUUGAGUUCAAUGUAGGAAAUUUCUAUGAAGGAGAGGAAGGAGAUCACUUUACAGUUGUAGUAAAUUGGCAUUUAGGUAUGUCAUCCCCAAAUUCUCAUCAUUAUAAUAUAUAUGCAUUUGAACUAGAGAACAAUUCUCAUCAUUAUAAUAUAUAAGCAUUUGAACAACUAAUAUAAAUUCACUCAAUGCAGAUUGGAAGAGGAAUCAGAUCCCUUUCACACGAGGCUGCAGCCUAUACGAAUUAUCAACAGAAGGAGAGAGACUAGUGAUUAAGUAGUAGCUUAACAAUUCUACUAGAUAUAAGCUCAAAUUCCAGUUACAUAGAAAUUGUACAUAACACACUGCUGGUCUGUGCAGGAAAGCUCAUGUUAUGAUCGAGUCACCAAUGAAACCUGGAGCCCUAGCGCUGGUAAAUUUUAUGGCUACUUUACAUUGAAUAACAUGGAAUAUUGUUGAUUAGUCUCAUCAAUAGCCAUAGUUUAUUCGAAUUUUGAUUAUGUUUUCCAUUCACUAUCUUAGAAUUUGUUGAAGAUCGUGACUUCACUAUUUGAUGCAUUCCCAGAUAUUGCCGAGUGUACGUAGACUCCCCUAAUUUCAUAAACUAAAUCAUAAUUGAGAUAUCAUAUUGAUAUGAGAUAUUUGGUUUCUGAAGGGUUCCUUGGGAGUCCCCAUGUCAUACUUCUUAAGAUCUACAGUGUAGUUUUGCUACCAUUUAUAAGACCACUUCUAGCUUUCUACAUCAACCUUUGGAAUUUCAUAGCACUUAUACUCAGCUUUGCCUUCAAAAUUUAUCUCCAAAUUUCAAAAAGUUUUCGCAAAUAAAGUACAUUCUAAAUUUCUUAAAUCCUCUUCUACAAGUGAGGCAUUUACAGAGUUUUAUAUAUAUAUUAAGUCAUUCUAGUACCAGAAGGAAACCCACAUCACCUUUUAGUCAUCGCUGCUAUCCCGACUAAAGCAUGUUUCCAACAAAGAAAGAACAACAAGUGGUCCAAGAACAGGUGGGAGUGGCGGGGGCUUGCUGAAAGCAACAAUUGGAUGAGCCUUCUCCGUCACUAUCUGUCCUUCCCCAACAUCAUUAUCAAUUUGCUUCUUUGGCAUCGAAGCUGCCGCUGCCCCUAGUUUAUACAUUUAUCUGUCAAUAAAAGAAUCAUAAAUUAUGAGCUCUCGAAUCGAAAUGAGGAAUGUGAGAUUACCCCAUUUUCCUUUUAUUGGAUAGAUGAAGUUGAAUUUGUUCUUAACAGGCAAUAGUACAGCUGUUCCACGCAUAUGUAGUUACUCUUUGAUUCUCUUUAACAAUCUGUGUUAAGCUACCAAUCUGCAUGGUUAAAACAAUCAAAAGAAUGUUAAAGUCUUAUCAUGAACGAAACAUACAAUUUGGAAUAUAUAGUCUUCAAAAUCCUUGCUUGUUCUUGUUCAAGUAUAGCCUAAGCUGGAUGAAGAUAACCAACACAAGCUACCUAACACGAACACCAAGUUGAGAAAUAAAUCAACAUUCUUUUUAAUAAAAAGUUUGACAUCAUAACUAGAUUGCAUAAUCACAAUAAAACUUUAAAUAGUAUUUAAAACCUCCAAUCAAAAUAAACAGUUGCUUGAGAUACAUUUUCCUAGACUAACCCAAUAAAAUGAACUACAGUACUUUCUGUUAAAAGGUUGUUAUAGAACAAUCACAACAAUUUUUUUAUACAUUUUCCUAUUGCAGAAUAAGUUAACUUGGUGACCUAUACUUUUUCCGAAAGCUAUCUUGGUGAUCAAUAACAUUUCUUUUGCAAAUUGAGUAGAAAAUACAAUAAUUUGUCCAAUGUUUCAGCUACUGAUACCUACAAAGUAAAAAGAAAACCAUCUCCAACAUUCUUGGUGCCCUCUAUUUCUCUUACAUCAAGUGGGAGUUUCAAUAACCCAAAACCUCUUCCCAGUACAUGUUCUCUAUCAACCUCGCUCAUCUUUUAUCAACUGCUAUUCUAUUGGGUGAUCUUACUAUAAUGAAACUGUUGUUCUACAUGGCUUGAAGCUAGACUGCUACAAUUAUACUCCCUCCGUUCCAAAAUUAGAGAUACGUUUGUAAAACGACUACUUUUAAGAAUUUUUUUUUGUCUUCUUCAAACAUAUCCUUAUAUUAGCUAAAAAUGUAGUAGUUUUUCAACCAACAUUAAAAGUAAUGACAUGUUAGAAACUUCAAAUCAUUUCAUUAUCUCUAAUAGAUAUGUAUCUCUAAUAUUGGAAUGACCAAAAAGAAAAAUGCAUCGCUAAUUUUGGAACUUAGGGAGUAUAAUAAAUUUGGUCUUAGUGACAUGCAUGUGACCUAAUUUAUUCCAAAAAUGCUACACAUUCUACCAGAAUGUGGUCAGAACAGAUCAGUAGCUAAUAACAAAAUCUGAAGUGAGAUGUGCUAUCCAGUUGCUCGUUGAUUACACCAGUUUCACAAAUUAGGGACCUCACAAAUAAUUAAUAGUUGGGUGUUCAUUAAGGAUUCAGGAGCAAUGCCACAACACCUAUAGCGCGUGUUAGGUACGAGUUAGUAAAUAUACAUUCCGAGCUAUUAACUAUAAAAUCACCGCCUAAGUUUGAUUAAUCUCCUACCGUCUUGAUUGGGCGCUUAAGCCCCAUUUAGGCAGAAUCAAACCUCUACUCUUAAACUCUACAAUACUUAAAAUGAAUUUGUUAAACCUUAAAAGAUUGUCUUCUGAGUAAAAUUUAAAUAAAUAACGCCUACUAUAUAUUUUAUAUAAUAUAACAAAUAUGUACAAUAGAAAAAUAAAUAAAUGAAAACAUCUAAAAAAACACUUAGUCCGCCUAGGAAAACGUCUAGGCGCUAAGCACCCCCUCUACCGCCUAACAAUUUUGAGAACACUGCUGGAAACUAAUCCAGUACAUGAUCUCUCUCCUCUAUGACAUAGAAAACAUUCCAAACCUUAAAUUCCUAGGUUUUCUAGGAAUGGGUGUGCUGCGUGUGCAAUUAAUUUAUUUAUUUCAAUGUUGGGAGUUAAAAAUUUAAGCAACAAAUUCAUUAAACUUUUUACCUUCCCAAAGUUCAAUAAUUACACUUCUAUUCGUCAAUUCAAGCAACAAUGUAAAAAAAAAAAAUUAAAAAAAAAAAAUCUUUGUUACAUUAGUUGCAGCAACAUUUAACAUAACUCGUAUAAAACUCUAACUAUAGAAAGCAUCCAUCUCUAAUUUACUAGUAUACAAACCAAAAGAAAACUGCUUCAAACUUGACCAUAAACACACGAUUAUACAGCAAAACAAAGCAUUCACGUAUCUGAAUCAUAUUUUGUAUAUUGAAGUUAAAUCAUAUAUAGAGAUUAUUUUAAAUACCGGAAACAAAACUGAUAAACAUUAUAAACAUGUUUGUCAGAAACAAAUUAAAAACAUGACUGAACAAUAUUAAAAGUUAACUCAAAUUAGUCUCUCAAUUUUUUUCAUAAUUUGUCAUUUCAAUUUCUAAAUAAAUAAAAAGCCAAUAAAAUGUUAGAGGAAGUGAGAGAUCGUAAGCGAUCUUGAUACCUGUGAUCUUCGGUCUCAGUUGAAAUGGAGCUAGAGAAAAUAAUGAACCAUCUGUGCUCUUGCAACGGGGAAUUUCUUUAAAUGUUCGAGAGGGCAAAGAAGUUUCCUGAAGCUUCUGUUUUCUACGCGCACAAAUU